UACAGAGGUCCCGAGCGUUGUCCGGAGUUACUGGGCGUAAAGGGUGCGCAGGUGGCGGCGCGCGUGGGGGGUGAAAUCGCCCGGCUUAACUGGGCGGGGGCCUUCCAGACGGCGUGGCUUGAGCAGCGGAGGGGGACGUGGAAUUCCGGGUGGAGCGGUGAAAUGCGUAGAGAUCCGGAGGAACACCGACGGCGCAGGCAGCGCCCUGGCCGCUUGCUGACACUGAGGCACGAAAGCUGGGGGAGCAAACAGG
rnacentral:rRNA from 1 species